UCGCGGCUUAUCACCGGCAGUCUCCUUAGAGUGCUCAACUAAAUGGUAGCAACUAAUGACAAGGGUUGCGCUCGUUGCGGGACUUAACCCAACAUCUCACGACACGAGCUGACGACAGCCAUGCAGCACCUGUGUUCCGAUUCCCUUUCGGGCACAACCGGAUCUCUCCGGCCUCUCGGACAUGUCAAGGGUAGGUAAGGUUUUUCGCGUUGCAUCGAAUUAAUCCACAUAAUCCACCGCUUGUGCGGGUCCCCGUCAAUUCCUUUGAGUUUUAACCUUGCGGCCGUACUUCCCAGGCGGAGUACUUAAUGCGUUAGCUUCGAUACCGAAGGGGUCAACACCCCCGACAUCUAGUACUCAUCGUUUACAGCGUGGACUAC
rnacentral:misc_RNA from 1 species